rnacentral:rRNA from 1 species
GACGAACGCUGGCGGCGUGCCUAAUACAUGCAAGUAGAACGCUGAAGGAGGAGCUUGCUUCUCUGGAUGAGUUGCGAACGGGUGAGUAACGCGUAGGUAACCUGCCUGGUAGCGGGGGAUAACUAUUGGAAACGAUAGCUAAUACCGCAUAAUAGUAGAUGUUGCAUGACAUUUGCUUAAAAGGUGCAAUUGCAUCACUACCAGAUGGACCUGCGAUGUAUUAGCUAGUUGGUGGGGUAACGGCUCACCAAGGCGACGAUACAUAGCCGACCUGAGAGGGUGAUCGGCCACACUGGGACUGAGACACGGCCCAGACUCCUACGGGAGGCAGCAGUAGGGAAUCUUCGGCAAUGGACGGAAGUCUGACCGAGCAACGCCGCGUGAGUGAAGAAGGUUUUCGGAUCGUAAAGCUCUGUUGUAAGAGAAGAACGAGUGUGAGAGUGGAAAGUUCACACUGUGACGGUAUCUUACCAGAAAGGGACGGCUAACUACGUG